rnacentral:lncRNA from 1 species
CCAGCACCAGGCCGCGUGCACUACGCAGGCCAGCGACAUGGCCCAGCUCAGUGGCCAGCAGCCCAGCAGGCCGCUCGCUUCACAGGCCAAGCAGGCCUUUCACGUGAGGCAGGCCUAGCAAGGUCAGGUGGGCCGACAGGAAGUAGCAGGGGCACGCAGCCCAAUAGCACUUGUCCAGGUGUGAAGCAGGCCGUGCGGACCAGUGAGCUUUUCCUUUG